rfam:Fistulifera solaris DNA, contig: scaffold00212, strain: JPCC DA0580.
AAAAAAGACCAUACUACGAUUACAGCACCGCUUCCCGUCUGCUCAGCGAAGGUAAGCAUCGUCAGGCCCGGUUAGUACUACGGUGGGGGACCACGUUGGAAUCCCGGGUGUUGUUCUUU